rnacentral:rRNA from 1 species
AUGAACCCAUCCAUCCCGACCUCCUGUGCGCGCUUCCCUGCAACUCCAGAUGCCGCCCGCAGCUCUCUGCAUCGAGCAGCAGUAGUUCGGGCAGAGGACGACGCCUCUGCCUUGACCGCUCGCCCCCUCUGCUUCGGGCUGGACUGCCAAGUCCCUCCCGUCCUCAUCCCCAUGCAGCUGCGCGCUCUCGCCUGCCCCCACGGCGAGCUCCGCCUCCUGCGUCCGGUCGCCACCUCCCUCAUCCUCCACCACCUUCUACAAGUUGUUGCCCAGGGCAUCGCAAGCUGCCAGCGGCGGCAGAGUUGCUGCUCCCGUGUCGUGAUUGGACUCCGUGUUCUUCUCCAACAGCAAAUACGUGUUCUUCUCCAACACCAAUCAAUGGAUUUCCCGAGCCGGAUUUGA